AUCACCUUCUCACACCCGCGGCUGCAACCUCCUUCCCACAGCGGCCACCGCUGUAACCCUUUUGCAAAUCUCCCACCUCACAAGGCACAUCCCUCUGUUCCUCCCGCUACCCGCAAUCCCACCCCACCUCCUGCUUACCCCGCCCUCCCCUGCAAACUCACACCACCCUCCCCUGCAAUCCCCUACCCUACGCCAUUUCCUCCCUCCCCAUCCCCCUCUGAAACCCAGCCCCAGUCGACGGCUUCCAAUACCUUAGGCCUCAGUUCUGUGCUCUCUUUGAUAAUGCUUCCUUCUUAUAGAGGUUCCUAUAAAUUCUGAGUAAAUGUUUUGAAGGUUUUGUGAUAAAAAUGAUGUAUGUCAUUUUGAAUGAGCAAAAGGACUAUUAAGAGUGCUGUAAUAAAAACCCUUCUCUCUUUUUUUCAAUCCAUAGUGUUUCAUGUUUUUCGUGUAGGAGUUAUCUAUGUUCAAAUGGUUAGUACCUUGCCUUACAGCUCUCACUUCCCAUCUUAUCGCUUCGCCCGGUUCCACACCUUGGCCUAUCAAUCACAAGUACGCACCCAACCUGCGACUCCAACCCAAUUCACUCUGAGACGCCCCAAUCUCAGAAUUCCCAACCUUUGCAGAAUCAAGGGCCGGAAAAACAUCCCCCCCCCCCCCCACCACCACUGCAACGGAUGUUUUAUGCCUUUUGAACAGCCUGCAGCUCCCUGUACCAGAAUACAUCUAUGCUUAUCUCCUCAAAGAAUGCACCGACUCCAGAGACCCCAUUAGAGGCUCUGAGGUCCAUGCCCACAAUAACAGAAGUAAUCUCCUUAGCCAAUCGCCUGCUUCUAAUGUAUGCCUUAGCCUCACCUGCUUCGAAUGUAUGCCUCCUGUGAUUGUUUAGAUGAUGCCCUGAAUUUGUUCAACAAAAUGCCCAUUAGAAAUACCAUCUCUUGGGUGACUAUGAUUGCUGGUUAUGUCCAUAAGGAUGAACCCAGAGAAGCACUAAAGCUAUUCAAAAUGCCACAAAGCAUCAGCUUGGAAUCAACUGGUUUGAUCGUCGUUAGUGUCCUCAAGGCUUGCUUCCAAACGGGUGAAUUUGGGCUGGGGAAGCAAGUCCAUGGAUGGGUACUUAAAGUUGGGCUUGGUAAAGAUUUGUUUCUGGGCAGCUUGUUUGUCGGUUUCUACAUGAAAUUCAGGUGCUUAGAAGGUGCAAGGUUUGUGUUUGAACAAGUUUGUCAUCGGGAUACUGUGCUGUGGACGGCCAUGAUUGCUGGGUAUUAUAGAGAAGGGAAGUUUGUUGAGGUCGUGGAUCUGUUUAAGGAUAUGGGGAGAAAAGGGGUAAAGAAGAACAACUUUACAAUGUCAAGUGUUCUGCGAGCAUGUGGAAGAAUUGAGGACAAUGGGCAGUUAGGAAGGCAGGUCCAUGCCGGUGCCAUCAAACUUGGGAUGGAAAUGGAUAUCUAUGUGAAGAGCAGUUUGGUUGACAUGUAUGGGAGAUGUGGACUCCUUCAUGAUGCAAGAAGGGUGUUUGAGAUUGUUGGUGACCAGAGGAAUGAUGUGUGUUGGAAUGCCAUGCUUACUGGGUAUUUGCAGAAGGGGUUCUAUGGUGAAGUCAUCAAGUUAAUGUAUCAAAUGAAGGCAGCUGGCCUGAAACCACAGGAGACAAUGCUUAAGAAGGCAAGGUUGGCUUGUGGCGGUUGAGAAACUUGAGAUUGAGUAAUCUACCAGCUAAGUUCAUUGAAGCUGACCUUCUUAUCUGGGCUUGAGUUGUCUUUUUCAGCAUUCUGAUUGCAGGACUGGGUGGGGCAGAGAAAGACAAUAAUUGGCUUACAACUCUGGUAGAAUUGGGAAGUGGAUACAGAACAUUAUAAGGGAUGGAAAAGAGUAAAAGAUCUCAGAGUGCAGGAUAUCAAAGCUGACCUACUGCAAUCCUUGUCUGGCUCUGGUUGAUGGGAUUCCAAUAGUAGGUGAAACCUAUUUGAGGAGGCCAAGAAAUUGAAUAUUUUAGUGAAAUACAAGAAUGGUGAAACAUACAUGGUCCCUAAUAAUGCUUUUGAAGUGGGGACGUUGGAUUUGACACAUCCAGAUGCGGCACCUUCGUUCAAGAAGAUCUUGCAAGAAAUGGUUGAUCAUGGGGUUAGGGGGUGGAUGGCGGAUUUUGGUAAAGGCCUGCCAUCGGAUGUUUCCCUCUAUUCAGGUGAAGAUCCUGUCUGCACAUAACAGAUAUCACCAAAUUAUGGGCCAGAAUAAACCAAGAAUUCGUGGAAGAAUGGAAGUCUACACAUGUAAGGAAGGAGAUGGAAGAUCUGAAAGAGUCUUUGGUCUUUUUUAUGAGAGCUGGUUUCAAGGAGAGUCCCAAAUGGGGAAUGCUCUUUUGGGAAGGUGACCAGAUAAUAAGUUGACAGGCUAAUGAUGGAAUCAAGAGUGCUGUUGGGGGCUUGCACAUUAGUGGCCUCUGCUUAUGCUUUUAACCACAGUGAUAUGGGAGGCUACUGUGCAGUGAACUUCCCUGUAAUCAAAUAUAGAAGAAGUUAGUUGCUUUUGUGAUGAACGGAGCUAAAUGCAUUCAGCAUGGUUUUUCGGACUCACGAAUUUGCAAAGGUGUACAGGGCUUGGAAUUUCUACAGGAUUCAACUUAUAAAGGUAAUGUGAGAUGUAUCUGCAUGUCUACUCCUAUUUUCAUUUAUCUCCCAAGCUAGUAUUUAACAUUAUUAAAAGCUUCAGCUUCAAUGGAGUCUCUAAUAUUCCUUAUUGUUUCUGGAACUUCUUCUGUCCAAACUGGAAGCUGCUUAGAAAGGUCUGCCUAUUUGCCACCAUCUUUUUCUCCACUUCCCCAUGGAUGAUGAAUGUACAUGAUUUGACCUACCAGCAGGUCUUGGUUGGUACGGAGAUCUUAGUGGUACCUAUUUCUGAUGGAGGGGAGAAAGAAGGUUGUUCUUGGCAACAUAUUUGCACAGGAAAAUUAUAGAAGCUCCAUUUGUUUACCCUGACAUAUUUGAAAAGUUUGGCUCCCUUUUAGGGGAGAGCUUUCUGAAAAAACUCUGAUUUUGGAAGUUUGUAAAUGAAAAUUCUAAAGCCCAAUUCAAAGUGUUGUGGGUGUUCUAGACCCUUUCAAUUAUCUUUGAUAUUUUGUUUUAGUAUUCUGUUAAGGCUAAUAUCCAAUUUCUCCAUACGAAAGAAGCGCAUGCUAUUUUUUGUGAUAUAAAAAAUCCUUCAAAAAAUUGUCCAUAUUUCCAGGAUCUUAGAUACUUGUUUGGUUUCUGAUGGACAAUCACCUCAUUCUACCUCUCUGCAUGUAUUCCUUUCUCCUUCCAAAUAGAUAUUGGCUAUUAGCCCUCAAGUAUGUAGUUCUCAGAAAUCUAGAGCUCAUAUUGAAAAGCAGGAGAAAAGAAGAAACCAAAGCAGCAUAUUCCACUUAGCUUGAUGUUCUUAUAAAUCAUUAGAAGGACUAAACAAACAAAACGCUACAUGGUUGCUUCAUGUCUACUGACCUCUAUUUUGGGAAUUUUUUGGUUUCAUUGAACUGACCAGCAUGUAGAUAUACCAUGUAUUGCUUCACUGCAGAUUUGUAAUUGCUUCAUUUCUUCAUUGUUCAGUACCUGUUGGCUAGAAACACAAGAUCUAUGGAAGAAAAAUAAUCCAGCUUCCACCAAAUCUCUGAAACGGUGAAAUGGAUUUCAGUUUUCAAAUCCAUUAUGUCAAGAAUUUAAAUCAGUAGCUCACAAAUGAGGUGCAAUGAACUCGAAACAAUCGGCCAAAAGAAGAUCCCAUUGAAAAUGAAGCAGUAGAGUUCAAUAGAUGACAUAUUGAGUACAAUGAUUUGAAGCCUUCCAUUUAAGAAUGGGCAUGUUGUUUCAGUUUCUAGUAACUGAACUGAGUAUAACCUGUCCUCUAUUGGAACCAUACCAGUUUCAUGCAUUCUAUAAAAGGAUUCAUGAGCCAUGUUCCCAUGAUCCCCAUCUUUAUAAUGAGCAUAAAUUUUAAGCAAUUAAUUGUAUGUAAAAUUGUCUGGCUCAACUUCCUUUGGGUUUCUUAUCAUUGAGAAGUUUAAUUCUUUUGUUGGAUUCUAUAAACA